rnacentral:lncRNA from 1 species
UCGAUUGAGAAGAGGCUAGGAAGCUAAGACACAACACCUUAAUUUGUGAUCAGUGCCAGAGGAACGUCAAUUGUUAAAAAUUAUGUCUCAAAAUCAAUCGUCAGCCUGUAGACGGUUGUGCUAAUCAUUAUAAUUAUAUAUAAAUUAUUAAAUUAAUAAAUAUUAUUUGAUUUUUUCAUCACUCUGUGUACAUCUUAUUUGAACUCUUGUAUUUUGUGAUGAAGUUCUUAAGACUAUUUGAAUCGAUAUAGGAAGAUAUAUCAUUUAGUCCUUAAACGUUGUUCAUGA